AUUGAACGCUGGCGGCAGGCCUAACACAUGCAAGUCGAGCGAGCGGCGGACGGGUGAGUAAUGUCUGGGAAACUGCCUGAUGGAGGGGGAUAACUACUGGAAACGGUAGCUAAUACCGCAUACCAUCAGAUGUGCCUAGAUGGGAUUAGCUAGUAGGUGGGGUAACGGCUCACCUAGGCGACGAUCCCUAGCUGGUCUGAGAGGAGUACCAGCCACACUGAGACUGAUAUACGGGCCAGACUCCGACGGGAGGCAGCAGUGGGGAAUAUUGCACAAGGGGCGCAAGCCUGAUGCGGCCAUGCCGCGUGUGUGAAGAAGGCCUUCGGGUUGUAAAACACUUUCAGCGGGGAGGCGUUACCCGCAGAAGAAGCACCGGCUAACUCCGUGCCAGCAGCCGCGGUAAUUC
rnacentral:rRNA from 1 species